rnacentral:rRNA from 1 species
AGGGAGGAAGUANAAAGGCCCAUUUCCCCAUGGGGAGGGGGGCUUNUAAUCCAAUCUUGGUUUUAGGCAAAAAGUNGGCAAUUAGCCCGUCUGGAGAANUAAAAAUUAGACCUGGGCAGGAGGGGGNCCCUGGGAAUGAUUCAGGAGUUUUAAAAC